GCGAAUGUAGCCAACUGGAUCAAGGCAGUGGAUUGUGAAUCCACCACUCGCGUGUCCAAUCUAUGUUGUUCGCU
rnacentral:tRNA from 1 species